GUGUCACUGAGGAGUUGGCUUUGGAGUUUCAAAUGCUCAAGCCAGGCCCAGUCUCUGUCAGCCUGCAUGAUGCCAUGCCUCCUUCCAUGCAAAAGAAUGCUGCCUAAAACAACAGUCAAGGCUGGCCUGGAACUUUCAGAGAUCCACGUGCCUCUUCUUUCUUGAGUGCUGGGAUUAAAGUUUGCCCACAAGUGUGUGUGCUUGUGCCAUUCAGAAUCCAGCUCAUGCCUCACAGCCUCCAGUCUCCAGGUCUCCUUAAGCAUUUCUCAGCUGUCAGUGUCUCUGGCUUUUCACAGUUUGGGCAUUUCUGGAAGAAUUCUGGUUGGAUAUUUUAUAGGAUAUUCCUCAGUUUGAUUUGUCUAAUGAUUUCUCCUAACUAUACUGAGAUGACUUGGGAAGGAUCACCGUAGACAUGGAAUGCCCUUCUCACUACAUCAUAUCAAGAGACACACGAUUUCAACAUUACAAACCAUGUUGGGACCCAGCCCCCACGGGGUCUCUAAGAGUUGUUUUCCAGCAUAACCACAGGUACCUCCUGUUUUCCUGAACUCAUCCCACUAGAAUCAAU
rnacentral:lncRNA from 1 species